GACAAUGAGAAACUUCAUGAGUUUGAUAUUUCUGAACUUAUUCACUGAGUUUAAGAGAAAAAAUGUUUCUAGAGGAAGAAAGCAGCUGAAGGAGAGAGGAAGAGGAGGAAGAGGAGGAAGAGGAGGAGCUGAUCUGUUCCUGAUCUCUAUAGAAACUCAAACUUCCUCCUUCAGUUCAGUUCAACUCUCCAACAUUAACUCUGAUCAACAUGGACUAUUAUGGUCUGUUUCUGCUCAUCGUCUCUCUACUAACAGGAGUCGGAUGCCAACAACUCACUGCACUUCAGAAUCAAGAGUUCGCUGUAGAAAACAGCAAAGUUACUCUGUCCUACACUUACUCCAAACAAGCUACUGGAAGUGAUUAUUUCUUCUGGUAUCGACAAUAUCCUGGAAAACCUCCACAGUUCCUGAUCUCUCACUCAGGAACAGGAGCUCCGAUGUCAACACCGCUUCCUGGUUUCUCCUUCAACGUGAGUGAUGAUAAAACCCAGAUGGACCUGCUGAUCUCCUCUGCUGCAGUGACAGACUCUGCUGUGUACUACUGCGCUGUGAGGCCCACAGUGACAGGAAACACCAGAACCCUGUACUAAAACCUGCAGUACUCCACAGCAGCCACUAGAG